rnacentral:rRNA from 1 species
UACAGAGGUCUCAAGCGUUGUUCGGAUUCAUUGGGCGUAAAGGGUGCGUAGGUGGCGCCAUAAGUCAGGUGUGAAAUCUCGGGGCUUAACUCCGAAACUGCAUUUGAUACUGUGGUGCUUGAGGACUGGAGAGGAGACUGGAAUUCACGGUGUAGCAGUGAAAUGCGUAGAUAUCGUGAGGAAGACCAGUGGCGAAGGCGGGUCUCUGGACCAUAUCUGACGCUGAGGUGCGAAAGCUAGGGUAGCAAACGGG